AACAAACGCUGGCGGCGUGCCUAACACAUGCAAGUCGAACGUGAAAGUUGGCUUCGGCCGAUGAGUAAAGUGGCGCACGGGUGAGUAACGCGUGGAUAAUCUGCCCUUCAGUUGGGAAUAACUCAUCGAAAGGUGAGCUAAUACCGAAUAAUACUGCUUGACCAUGGUCAGGUAGUCAAAGAUAGCCUCUGCUUGCAAGCUUUCGCUGAAAGAUGAGUCCGCGUACCAUUAGCUAGUUGGUGGGUAAUGGCCUACCAAGGCGACGAUGGUUAGCUGGUCUGAGAGGAUGAUCAGCCACACUGGAACUGAGACACGGUCCAGACACCUACGGGUGCAG
rnacentral:rRNA from 1 species